rnacentral:rRNA from 1 species
UACGUAGGGGGCGAGCGUUGUCCGAAGUUACUGGGCGUAAAGAGCGCGUAGGCGGACCCUUAAGUGAGGGGUGAAAGGUUCGGGCUCAACCCGGAGAGUGCCUUUCAUACUGGGGGUCUUGAGUGCGGGAGAGGCAAGUGGAAUGGUCGGUGUAGCGGUGAAAUGCGUAGAUAUCGAGAGGAACACCGGUGGCGAAGGCGGCCAACUGGACGAAUACUGACGCUGAGACUCGAAAGCGUGGGGAGCAAACAGG